rnacentral:rRNA from 1 species
CACGCCGUAAACGUUGGGCACUAGGUGUGGGGAGGAAUCAACCCUUUCCGUGCCGUAGCUAACGCAUUAAGUGCCCCGCCUGGGGAGUACGGCCGCAAGGCUAAAACUCAAAGGAAUUGACGGGGGCCCGCACAAGCGGCGGAGCAUGUUGCUUAAUUCGAGGCAACGCGAAGAACCUUACCUGGGUUUGACAUGUAUCGAAAAGCCAUAGAGAUAUGGUGUCCUUCGGGGCGAUACACAGGUGG